UCUAGAUAGCUAGUGCCAUCAGCCAGGAGUGCUUUGGCUAUACUCUGUUCUCCACGAUACCUGUAUAAAUGAGAAACAAGCAAACUAUGCAUAUAUCUUAUUAUUGUACGUUAAAGGUAACUUUUUUAAUUAGGCAAAAUUCUAGUAAAGAAAUUGUUCACUUAUACAUGUUGUUUUGUUUUAACAGCGAGCUGUUAACACAGAAGAUGAGGAGUUGUUCAAAUCGCAAUCAAGCACGACUGCAUCUGAGACCGCUAAUCAGCCCAUGAUCUGCGCGAAGCAGACUCUGCGCCUGGUCUAUCUACAAACCUAUAAGCAAAUAUAUUGAAAUGAAUAUUACAAAUACAUAUUGCAUCUGUUCAGCGACCGAAAACUGUAUUAUUACAUAUGACGAUUCAACAAUAAACGCAUACAUACAUUACUGUAGGCCCGCCAAUCACAAAGAGGACAUAGAUCAGAGUUAGCAAGUGACUCACACGCCCCAAACGCUACUAGCAAGCUGAGAAGGCUUGUUCACACCCACCGCAUUGUCAAUCAGCUAAUAACGGCACCGACGCCGCGACGACUCCGCAUCGGAAGACUGUUCAAAUUUAAACGAUUGCACCGUCAUGUAUUGAUGGUCAUGAAACAUGGUAACUUCAAUAGCUUCCAUUCUGUAUGUAUAAAGUAACUGCGUUUAAUUUGCUGUAUGCAGGAUUGUUUAACAUAAAAUACCAAACACAUUUGGAAUAUUCCACCUUAAUAUUUUUUUUAUUAAUAGCUUAGAUGUAAGUGGAAAAUUCUUGCUGACAAUGUGUUUCCUUUGAAAUAAUAUAACAUUUUCACUCGUAAGAUUUUUUGUAAAAUUGUAGUUCGGUUUGUCGCAAAUAUUCUAUUGGAUAAUUUGUUAUUUAAGUAUUGAUUCCGAUUUUAAUUUAUUUUCUGUGUAAUGCCUACAGUUACUUGCGUCUGACCACGAUUGAAGUUUUGGCGCGGUUACACUUAACAUUUACUUAAUUUUAAAUAUAAUUAUAUAAUAUGUAUGUGAAUGUAGAAUGUGCUUUAUUCAUCUAAGUUUUAGUUUCCUACUGUCUACAAUCUGUUUUAAUUGCGUACUCGUUUAGAUGUUUUAAAUUAGCAUACGGUUGGAUCACAUCCGAAAAAGAGGAGUUGAUAGUCUGUUUGCUUUAUGCUUAUGACUUGCUACGAUAUCAUCAUCUAAAGCAGUCCAAGCUAAGGUCCACAGGUUCGUUCGGACUACUCUAUGUAUCUACCGAUAUUGCAAAGGCAACAAUGCGAUGUCACAAAUAUUUAACCAUUCUGAUACUUUAUUUAUGUUAUAUUGUAGAAAGCAAUCUGACAGUGAAAACAAAAGUACUUAUUAAACCUUGAUACUUAUUACGUGGUUAAUUUAUCUAAGUGAUUGCUUUUUGCGCUGAUCUAGAGUAGCCAGUGAUUAGUAACGUGAACCAUUUACUUUUUAUUUUGAGCAUAUUUUGUGGCUAAAAAUGAUAGUUUUCUACUCUGAUAAUACACAAGCAAUAUAAAUACAUUAAUCAUGACAAUUAUUGUGUAGGUAUGUUUAUCGAUAUGCUUGUCCAAAAGUAACAUUUACAAAUGAUAAAACAUUACUAGAGUGAAGUCACAGUGGAGUCGACACAGAGCAGUACAUGAUAAUUUUGUAUUCUGUACUUUAUGUAUAUCUCUGAAUAAUGAAAUAGCAAAAAUAAAUAAAUUAAUGGCAUAAUAA
rnacentral:lncRNA from 1 species